GGCGCAAAUGGCGCAGCCGGUAACACUUUUGUCUAUGAAACACUCGACGGGGGUUCGAUCCCCACUGAGGCCC